GGGUUAAGUCCCGCAACGAGCGCAACCUUACCCUUAGUUGCCAGCGGGUAAUGCCGGGCACUCUAAGGGGACCGCCCCGGAUAACGGGGAGGAAGGCGGGGAUGACGUCAAGUCAGCAUGGCCUUUAUGUCCAGGGCUACACACGUGCUACAAUGGGCGAUACAGAGGGAAGCAAGGCCGCAAGGUAGAGCUAAUCCCUAAAGUCGUCCUCAGUUCGGAUUGCAGGCUGCAACUCGCCUGCAUGAAGUCGGAAUCGCUAGUAAUCGCGGAUCAGCUACGCCGCGGUGAAUACGUUCUCGGGCCUU
rnacentral:rRNA from 1 species